CAGCGGCGGCAUGGCGGGCCGGCGGGUGAACGUGAACGUGGGCGUCCUGGGCCACAUCGACAGCGGCAAGACGGCUCUGGCGCGAGCGCUUAGCACCACGGCCUCCACCGCCGCCUUCGACAAGCAGCCGCAGAGCCGCGAGCGCGGCAUCACGCUCGACCUGGGCUUCUCGUGCUUCUCGGUGCCGCUGCCCGCGCACCUGCGGCCGGCGCCGCUGGGGGCCGAGCCCGAGCCCGAGCCCGGGGCCGAGCCGCGGCUGCAGGUCACGCUGGUCGACUGUCCCGGGCACGCCUCCCUCAUCCGGACCAUCAUCGGCGGGGCCCAGAUCAUCGAUCUGAUGAUGCUGGUCAUUGACGUGACCAAGGGGAUGCAGACCCAGUCGGCUGAGUGCCUUGUGAUUGGGCAGAUCGCCUGCCAGAAGCUGGUCGUGGUGCUGAACAAGACAGACCUCCUACCCGAAGGGAAGAGACAGGCGGCGAUUGAUAAGAUGACCAAGAAGAUGCAGAAGACCCUAGAGAACACCAAGUUCCGAGGUGCACCCAUCAUACCCGUGGCGGCCAGGCCUGGGGGACCGGACGCCCCUGAAACGGAAGCUCCACAGGGCAUCCCAGAGCUCAUUGAGCUCCUGACGUCCCAGAUUUCCAUCCCAAGGAGAGACCCCUCGGGACCGUUCCUCAUGUCUGUGGACCACUGCUUCUCCAUCAAAGGCCAAGGCACUGUGAUGACAGGGACCAUCCUCUCAGGCUCCGUCAGCCUCGGUGACAGUGUGGAGAUCCCUACCCUCAAGGUGGUGAGGAAGGUGAAGUCCAUGCAGAUGUUCCACACACCCGUCACGUCUGCUGUGCAGGGGGACCGGCUGGGCAUCUGCGUCACCCAGUUCGACCCCAAGCUGCUGGAGCGUGGCCUGGUGUGCGCCCCCGAGUCCCUGCACACGGUCCAUGCAGCCCUCGUCUCCGUGGAGAAGAUCCCGUAUUUCCGGGGAUCCCUGCAGACCAAGGCCAAGUUCCACAUCACCGUGGGCCACGAGACGGUCAUGGGCCGGGUGAUGUUCUUCAGCCCCGCCCCCGACAGCUUCGACCAUGAGCCCGUGCUGGACUCCUUCGACUUCUCCCAGGAGUACCUCUUCCAGGAGCAGUACCUGUGCCCGGGCUCGGUGCCGGCCGAGACGGACCGUGGUGAGGCCGACAGCAGGGUGGGCCAGGCCUCCGAAGGCCGCUGCCCCCGGCAGCAGUGGGCCCUCGUGGAGUUCGAGAAGCCCGUCACCUGCCCGCGGCUGUGCCUGGUGAUUGGCUCCAGGCUGGACGCGGACAUCCACGCCAACACGUGCCGGCUGGCCUUCCACGGCGUCCUGCUCCACGGGCUGGAAGAUAAGAACUACGCCGAGAGCGCCCUGCCCACGCUGCGAGUGUACAAGCUGAAGCACAAGCACGGCAUCGUGGAGCGGGUGAUGGACGACUACAGUGUGAUCGGCCGCUCCCUGUUCAAAAAGGAGACCAACAUCCAGCUCUUCGUGGGGCUCAAGGUGCACCUGUCCACUGGGGAGCUGGGGGUCAUUGCCAGCGCCUUCGGCCAGAGUGGCAAGUUCAAGGUCCACGUCCCUGGGCGUUCCUGCCAUGUGUGACCUUGGGCUGCGCAACCUUGGGCGGCUGACCUCAGUUUUCCUCAUCUGGAAGUGGGAACAUCGCGACACCUACCCCUCCAGGGCCGUCUGAGGAGCGCGUAAAGCCAGGCACGUUGGGGACACGCGUGACAGAGGCUCCCAUGAAGGGGAAGCAGUGUCCUGAUGUGAUGGGUCAGGGCAAUUUUUACAAAUGGAGAUGAGACCCUCUUCCUGGGUGCCUCCUGGUUCUCCCCAGCGACCCCCCUCCAGUGCCCAAGUUUUGACUGGCAGACCUAGGAGGUUGGUGGGAGAGGGGUGUCAGUGUCAGUCCCAGCACAGACUCAACCUUGCCUGUUACAGGAGACGGUGGGGGAGGGGAGGGGAGACCAGCAGCCCAGCACCUCCACCCCAGGCCCUGGCCCUCUGGCUCAGGCAAGCUGGAGAGACCAGUGGAAGGUGGAGGGUUUAUCUCACACACCCCGCCAGGGAGGGGCCUUUAUGCCCAGAUCCAGUUUCUGGCAGAACUGGUUGGUCCAGGUGGCCCGAUAGAUGGCCAAGAUAAGGUCCGUGCAGGUUGGCUGGGCCAAGCGGAAGACCCACGCUGGGCUAAGACGGGGGGUGGCCCAGGCCCAGCCUGACUCAAGGGUGGCAUGGGGUCUGGGCCUGUCUUGUCCCAGCUGCUGGCACCUAUUGUGGGCCACACGGGUGCCCUCUCUGGACCCCCUUCCCUGCCUGCAGUGAGAAGUGGCACAGAAAGAGGUGAUCCUGGGCAGGGGUGGUACAGGCCCAAGGUUGCCCAGGCUGGACAUGCUGCGGGUAAGGUUUGUACGGGCACAUGACGAGGUUCCAGAGCCAAGAACCAGGCAGACUGAGGUUGCCCGGGCGUGAGGUUGUUCAGGACCCCACGUUUCAGGUGGGCCCAGGCUUGGUUGUGUGUCAGACCUUCUGGAAGCCCCAGGGCUGGCUGGGCGAGCUCGUCCUCAUGGGCCGAUGGCAUCCUGCUAUCUAUAACGUCACCACGCCCCAAAGAGUCCCUUCAUUAGACCCUUCCACCUGAGAGGUUUGAGUGUCACCUCUCUCCUGCUGGGACCCUGACCAAUAAACCUCUGGGGUCUCACAGCCCUAGGGAGCAGUUGUGGUCACCACACUUUCUAGGGAGGAGCCCCAUGGGGACGGCCAUGGAAGGAGCCCUUAGUCCCCGCAGACAGGACUUCCCUCAUCUCAGCACAGACCUUGGGAAAGGCAGCCCUCGGAUCUGCCUGAAAAAUGGGGUUUGCAUGCAGGAAGUAUUUGAGGGACGUGGUCCCAGGGAACAGGGGCGGGGUAGGGGGCAGGAAGCCGGGCAAGGGGAAAAGCCAGCCAGAGGAGGAGCUGUGGAUCCACGGUCAGUGGGGUACAGACUGCACCGAGGCCAUCUGAGAAACCUCGAGGGACAUGCUGAGAACCGCCCUCCCCAGGGACAAAAGGGGACAUAGCCAUAGGCUCCCGUCCCACCCCAUGGACAAGGUGAGGCUUAUCCACCGGCCUUCAAACUUUAGGGUUCCUGUGCACAAGUGCCCAGCAGGUCCUGCGGGCGUCCUCGCGCUGGGUCAGAGCAGCUCUGGGCAAGAGCGAGCUGGGCCAUCAGCCGGCAUCUGCACAGAUGGGCCGGUCUCCACAGAGCUGUGGCUGGCCUGAGCUCGGCCAGGAGGACUUGAGGUGGGCCGCAGAGCCGUCCAGUACAGUUUAAAAUAGCAUGUAUUCAGGGAAUAUUUGAGGUUCAGUAAGGCCACAGAUCAGGAGAUGGCUGCCGUUGGAAAGGUCUUUUCUAAGCACAGUCCCGGAGGAGGGGGACGCCACGCCACGCCAUGCCACACCAAGCCACGUGGGAAAGCAUGGGGAGGUCAGGAGGCGGGGGGAGGCUGGAACCGGGGAUAGGAGCCUUUGCUGCGGUUUCUGCAGGAGGGCCGGCGAGGCAGGGCGAGCAGGCUGACCACUGGCUGGUUUGAGUAAUUUCAUGGGCUCUGGGAGAGACGGGCUGCCCCAAGUUGCCGGGUACCUGACCCUGGGUGACUCGGGCAGCAGGACAGUAGCCCAAGGGGGAGAACCCGAUAGAGGAGGUGCUGGGGCUGUGCCUUCUGGACUGGUUGCUUUGCAUUUGAAAGUCACGCUCUGGGACCAGUGGGUUACACUCUGCGGGAAUCGGCCGGUCCUGGGAGGGGCAGUCCCUCCAGGGUCAGAGCAUCAAACCCAAGACACGGUUCCUGCAGUCCACCCCUCACCCACCUCAGCUCCGCUCGUGGCCUCUGUGGCCCAGGGUGGCCCAGGGUCCGGUUCAGGGUGGGAGCCGGCCCGGAGCCCUGACAGGCCUUAACUAGGAGUUAGCGGGACAGGCCGCAGCCCCUCCUGCUGCACCUGGUCCCGAAGCCGAAGCCUCCUCCACCACCCUUUCUGGAUUUCCCUCACCUUCGGCCAGCACUUCUGCGGCUCUGGGUUCGCCUGGUGGGGCGACCGGGUCGUCUCCAGGGCUCUGAGACCUUAGUUGCCUUGCCCCUCUCAAGCCGUGGUUGCUGCAACUGCCCCGUUGUCACUGUCACCAGUUCGGAUGUACAAGGAGCAGCCCCAGAGAAUUUCGAGUCCCCGAGACCCUUGUCCCUGGCCCUCUUCUCACAGAGGUCCGAGCCGACCCUCACCGGCGUGGUGUGACUGCACGUUCAUGGGAGAGCUGCUGUGUCCCCCCGCCCACCCCCGAACCAGGACCUCGGAUCUGGCCGAGCCUCAGGUGGUGGGGCAGGGAGCAGGAGUUCUGCAAGGGGGGUGACGUCGAGACGGACGGGCCUCCUUCCUCCGCCCGCUGGCUGUGCUCCGGUUACAGGGCCAGCACCGCAUCCACAGGACUGGACCCCAGCCCUCAGGAUGUCCCAGGACGGCUCCAGGGCUAGGCUGUUCCUUUUUAGAUCAGCUGCUUCUGAGUGAUGUGAACUAGAGUGCGGCCAGCGGGCCUGUGGCUCUGUUCCCGUUGUCACCUCCUUGUGGUCAAAUGGUCCCUGGUCUGAGACAGCAUUGUGCAGGACACGAGGGUCCAGCUACCGUGCUGGACCCUUGUCAUCCUCUCGCCACACGGCUGUCACGUGGUCUUUGCACAGUCUACACCGAUGUCACCCUCCUGCUUCAUACCCUUCUGUGUCACCACUGCUCUUGAGAUCAAGGUGACAGCACCCAUGCCAGACCCCACGCUCCUUGAGCUCUGGUCCACGCCACACUGGCCCUCCCAGGCCCACCCCCCCGCCCCGUGCUCACACGCUUCUCCUGCUGCAGGCACAUUGCACACGCAAGCCCCUCAGCCUGAUGCACCACCCCCCCUCGCCUGCCUGCUCUGGGGCAGCCUCCUCGCACUGUCCCAUCUGGGGCAAUCCGCCUAGAUGCUCUCCCCGCGUCUGGUCUGGCCCCUGUGGCGCCCCUCUGAGCUGCAGUCUUCGUUUCCGUGGUGACUGGUUAAAGCCUCUCUCCCCCUAGACUGUAUUCCCAUUGCAGGUGGGAAUGAUCUUUGCUCGUCACGGUGUUGACAAAACCCACCAUUCUUCCUAUCGCCCAGCGGGCACGCAAAUCCUUCCUGCGUAAGUAAAUGAAGUAUGGCGCGUCUCUGGUGAUGGCAGUGGCAACAGGGUGACAGUGGACGUGGUGGUGGUGGCAGUUGAGGGCGAUGCCGUUGGCGAUGAUGGACCACCUUCCUCCGCACGUGCUGGGCCACUGGACACCUGAGCGGUUCCACUCGAGGGUGGAGCACCGUCAGGGCUGAUCCGUUCCAACGGCAGCAAGCCGAAGAGUCCACCCCUCGAUUCGGAGCUGCCCGGGUUCCCGGCCUUCCCACAGGUGUUGGGAUUUCUUUUUCCUUUGAUCCAGCUGUACCCGUUCAGUAGUGCCCCUCCCGGGUUUAACUCGCAUUAGCUGGGAUUGACUUCUGUCCCUUGUGACCAGAGAACCCUAACUGGUCCGGAAGGGGGUGAGGGGGUGAGCUGAGACGGGGCCCACGCCGCCCCACUCUCCUUGCCAGUUCCUCCUCCUCUCUGGCUUCUGAGUGUCCUUGCAACGUCCUCCAUCUCUGCUGACACCUGGCUGAUCUCGUCCAUUCUCAGGCCUUUAAAUGCCAUUGCAUGUGCUGAUUCAUCUUGAUUUCUCACCGCUGGUCCUGACCUUUCUCCUGAACCAGAGCUCACGGCUGACUGUCGUGCAUGUCACACUCAACAGGCCCCAGCUGAGUUCUUGAUUUCCUCCCGCUCAGUUGUCCCAUCUCAGCGGACAGAGACCUCGGAGAUGACCCAGGCCUGUCCACAGCUCCUUCCCACUCCCUUCAGCAGAGGCCGCUGCCUCAGGGCCUGGGCACUUGCUAAGUUCCCUGCAGGGGACACUCGCCCCAGACCUUCCUCACCUCCUCCCGGGAGAGGGGGCUUGUGAGGGCUGAGCCCAGGGCAGGGCAGAGGGCGCGGAGGGGAAGAAUCCACAGGACGCAGAGUCUGAGAGGGAGGAGUUCUGGGUGAUUCCCUGCACCCUGGGUGGGCAACCGGCUGGCCAGAGGGAACCACCCCUGAGAAGGGGCCCGGGGUGGGGGUCAGACCUGGGGAGGAAGAGGCCAAGUCCACGUUCAGCACGAGGAGUGACCAGCAUCCGUGGGCCAUCCAGGAUGCAGCCCAGCAGAUUCCUGAGCUGCAGCCCAGGGCAGAAGUAAGAUGGGGAGGCCGUGCCAGGCUAUAGUCCUAGGUCUGGGCAGCACCCACCCUCCUGAACCAGCCGGGCCUGCUGGGAGGAGAUCCAGCAGCAAAAUUCGUGGCUGAACUAACGCGAACAGAGACGGUGCCACUGACCGGGCUCACAGAGAAACGCAGACGCACUCAGGGUGGAUGUUUCUGCAAGCCAGCCUCUCCCAGCCGGCCACUGGCAGGCAAUCGAUAGGCCUAAUUAAUAAUUAACUUUUUAAUUAAAUAUCAAUUUAAAACAAGUAUGGGAACCAGUCUCUUGCAAUUAACACCCUUGCUCUGCUUUCCUAAAGGGACUCAGUCGAAGGCCCAGGCUCCGGGACCUCUUGGGUGGGGAGGGCAACCCGGGACCCAGCAGAGUGGGGAAGGGGCCCGGCCCGGCCUGCUCUACCCCGUCCUGGAGCCGCAGGGAUAGAUUUCUCCACCCAGCGGUCACCGCCCGCGCCCUGCCCUCAAGGAGCUGGCAUCUCGAAUGCCGGGCAGAAGAUGCUCAGGAACCUGCGAGCGGCGAGAAGCUGAUUCCCGGGGUCCCAAAGGAAGGAGAAACGGGGCCACAGGAAGACGGCUCCGCUUGGCCUUGACGGUGACGAGUUGGAAGGACGCGCUGGCGUGGGAGCUGCGCGGCCAGAGCUAGAACCUGUUCUCGCCAGGCUGGUCCACUGGUGCUGAGGAAAGAUGACCACACACGCAAUUCUCCGCGGGAGUGGUGCUCUGGUUGACUGUGGCGACCGAGGGGAGAGUGACAAGCACCGCUGGGGCGGCUCCAGGGCUCCAAGGCGCGUCUUCCCCUCCGGGAUCCCAGGCUUCGGGAGCAGCCCUCGUGGCAGAGAGGCCGCCUGUAAGAGCUGGUGGACGCGUGGGAUGCCUCUUAGAACUUCUCUUGGGAUGUAACGAAUGUCGCUCUGCCUUACAUCACGUGGUCAAGGCCAGUGUCAGUGGAAUGGGGAUGGCACUCCUUCAAGAAGGUUCUGCACCUCCCGGGCAACACCCAGAGAGGCACAGUCCUCUUAGAGGGAAGAGAGAAUGGGCAGCUACGGUACGCUGCGGGUCCUGUGCUCAGCCUGAGGCCUCUCGGGUGGGCAACAGGAGGCAGCUGGGAUGGAGACGGGCUGGGGGGCCACCAGAGCUCAGAGAGCAGGCCACUCAGUAGGACUCACGGGGAAGGGCAGACCCCAGCUCCUACUGCCACGGGGCCCCGAGGAUGGAGAGCCUCCCCAUUACCGAGGGGAAGGGCCCCUGGUUCUCUAACUGCAUUACCUUCAGGAUGGAUGGGUGACAGCGAUGGAUGGGCCGCUGGAUGGACGGGGACCGGACCUCCAGGAAAACUUCCAGCCCAACACCCCCAGCCAGUGGACAGGUGCCCACCGGGUCCCCUGCAUCCUCACCCUCAAUCCCCACCCAGAGUCUUUUCUCUGGCUGGCUUUGAAGGAGGAAGCUGCCGAGAAUCUUACAGCUGCAAGGAAAUCGAUUCUGCCGAAACCAGAGG